UGGUGCUUGCAUCAUGAUUUACAUUUGAGUGAGUGGCGAACUGGUGAGUAACACGUGGGAAACCUGCCCAGAAGCGGGGGAUAACACCUGGAAACAGAUGCUAAUACCGCAUAACAACUUGGACCGCAUGGUCCGAGCUUGAAAGAUGGCUUCGGCUAUCACUUUUGGAUGGUCCCGCGGCGUAUUAGCUAGAUGGUGGGGUAACGGCUCACCAUGGCAAUGAUACGUAGCCGACCUGAGAGGGUAAUCGGCCACAUUGGGACUGAGACACGGCCCAAACUCCUACGGGAGGCAGCAGUAGGGAAUCUUCCACAAUGGACGAAAGUCUGAUGGAGCAACGCCGCGUGAGUGAAGAAGGGUUUCGGCUCGUAAAACUCUGUUGUUAAAGAAGAACAUAUCUGAGAGUAACUGUUCAGGUAUUGACGGUAUUUAACCAGAAAGCCACGGCUAACUACGUGCCAGCAGCCGCGGUAAUACGUAGGUGGCAAGCGUUGUCCGGAUUUAUUGGGCGUAAAGCGAGCGCAGGCGGUUUUUUAAGUCUGAUGUGAAAGCCUUCGGCUCAACCGAAGAAGUGCAUCGGAAACUGGGAAACUUGAGUGCAGAAGAGGACAGUGGAACUCCAUGUGUAGCGGUGAAAUGCGUAGAUAUAUGGAAGAACACCAGUGGCGAAGGCGGCUGUCUGGUCUGUAACUGACGCUGAGGCUCGAAAGUAUGGGUAGCAAACAGGAUUAGAUACCCUGGUAGUCCAUACCGUAAACGAUGAAUGCUAAGUGUUGGAGGGUUUCCGCCCUUCAGUGCUGCAGCUAACGCAUUAAGCAUUCCGCCUGGGGAGUACGGCCGCAAGGCUGAAACUCAAAGGAAUUGACGGGGGCCCGCACAAGCGGUGGAGCAUGUGGUUUAAUUCGAAGCUACGCGAAGAACCUUACCAGGUCUUGACAUACUAUGCAAAUCUAAGAGAUUAGACGUUCCCUUCGGGGACAUGGAUACAGGUGGUGCAUGGUUGUCGUCAGCUCGUGUCGUGAGAUGUUGGGUUAAGUCCCGCAACGAGCGCAACCCUUAUUAUCAGUUGCCAGCAUUAAGUUGGGCACUCUGGUGAGACUGCCGGUGACAAACCGGAGGAAGGUGGGGAUGACGUCAAAUCAUCAUGCCCCUUAUGACCUGGGCUACACACGUGCUACAAUGGAUGGUACAACGAGUUGCGAACUCGCGAGAGUAAGCUAAUCUCUUAAAGCCAUUCUCAGUUCGGAUUGUAGGCUGCAACUCGCCUACAUGAAGUCGGAAUCGCUAGUAAUCGCGGAUCAGCAUGCCGCGGUGAAUACGUUCCCGGGCCUUGUACACACCGCCCGUCACACCAUGAGAGUUUGUAACACCCAAAGUCGGUGGGGUAACCUUUUAGGAAC
rnacentral:rRNA from 2 species